rnacentral:rRNA from 1 species
AACGUAGGUGGCGAGCGUUAUCCGGAUUUACUGGGCGUAAAGCGUGUGCAGGCGGGGUAUCAAGUGGUGUAUGAAAUCGCUCGGCUUAACCGGGCGCGGUUAUGCCAAACUGAUACUCUGGAGUGCGGGAGAGGGGCGUGGAAUUCCGGGUGUAGUGGUGAAAUGCGUAGAGAUCCGGAGGAACCCCAGAGGCGAAGGCGGCGCCCUGGCCCGACACUGACGCUCAGACACGACAGCAUGGGGAGCGAACGGG